UCAUCAUCUCCUUUCCUUUCCUAACCUCCUCCGCCCCUCGAGCCUCGAUAUAUAAAACGCGGGGUCGCCGGAGGCCGCUCACCUCACAACCCCAACACACUGGGAACCCGACUCAGCCCCGCAAGCCCCAAGAAAAGGAGAGAACCAGAACCCCGCGUGGCGCUCCGGCGCAAGUCUCUCGGCUCCCGUCUCCUCGUCUCCGCGGCGGUGCCGGAAGGGAACUCGUCAAAAACAAGAAAUCAAAGUCUCAAGGAAUGCUGAAAGAUGUGCUUGCAUAGAAGAGAUCUCUUCUGUGAGACCAAGAACAUCACCACUCUGCGUGGGCCCAUUUGGUCACCUCUUGAUGUGAGCAACCACCUUGCCUGCAUCAACGCCACGCCAUUCAGACUCCGCUAUGACGAAUCCACCAGAGUGCUGGAUCAUGACUUCGGGGAGGCUGGCUGAAGUGUCGUAGCAUAUUUAAGUGGUAGCCACAAGAAUAUUAGUGGCCGUGACUUAUACUCUUGAAGGCAUGGAGAACAGUGGGAAGAUCGUAAUGGGUAGGUAUGAGGUGGGGAGAUUGUUAGGGAAAGGAGCAUUUGGCAAGGUGCACUACGCCAAGAACCUUGAGUCAAACCGAGGCGUCGCCAUAAAGAUGUUGGACAAGGAGAAGGUGCUGAAGGUCGGGCUCGCGGAGCAGGUCAGGCGUGAGAUCACCACCAUGCGGUUGGUAGCGCACAAAAGCAUUGUUCAGCUCCAUGAGGUCAUGGCGACACGAAGCAAGAUCUACUUCGUCAUGGAGUACAUGAAAGGCGGUGAGCUCUUUGACAAGGUUUCCAAGGCUGGCAAGCUCACCGAGGAUGCUGCACGCAAGUAUUUCCAGCAGCUCAUCAGUGCAGUGGAUUACUGCCACAGCCGAGGCGUGUAUCACCGGGACUUGAAGCCUGAGAACCUACUCCUUGAUGAGAAUGAAAACCUGAAGGUUUCUGAUUUUGGGCUGAGUGCACUUUCAGAAUCGAAGAGCCAAGAUGGCAUGCUCCACACCACCUGUGGAUCGCCUGCAUAUGUGGCUCCAGAGGUGAUCAGCAAGGGAGGCUAUGAUGGUGCAAAAUCAGAUAUCUGGUCUUGCGGUGUCAUCCUCUUCGUUCUUGUUGCUGGUUACCUCCCUUUCCAAGGUCAGAACUUGAUAGAGAUGUACCGGAAGAUUGAGAAAGGCGAUUUCAGGUGCCCUGGCUGGGUUUCCCAAAAACUUCAGAAGCUGUUGUACAAGAUCAUGGACCCUGAUCCGAACAAGAGGAUAUCAAUCCAGAAGAUAAAGGAGUCCACCUGGUUCCGGAAAGGUCCCGGGGAGAACCUUACAGUGAAGGAGAGACUGCCAAGUGAGAAUGCCAACACGGAUGCUGUUCCAACACUUGGUGUGAGGCGCAGGAAGAACAGUCACGAAGACGCGAAGCCCCUGGCGGUGACAAAUUUAAAUGCCUUUGAAAUCAUCUCUUUCUCCACAGGGUUUGACCUCUCUGGCCUAUUCGUCGAGAAGGAGAGCAAAAAGGAAGCAAGGUUCACUUCAGAACAGCCUGCCUCAGCCAUUGUCUCGAAGCUGGAAGCUGUUGCGAAGACGCUGAAUCUCAGGGUGAGGAAGAAGGAUAAUGGUGUUGUCAAGAUGCAAGUGAGGAAGGAAGGCAGGAAUGGUGUUCUUCAGUUUGACUCGGAGAUCUUUGAGAUCAGCCCCUCGUACCAUCUCAUUGAGAUGAAACAAACAAGCGGUGAUUCACUGGAGUACCAGAAGCUAUUGGAGGAGAGCAUCCGGCCAGCACUGAAGGACAUUUGUCUGGGCAUGGCAUGGAGCUGAUGGUCAGCAGGAGCCUCAAGGGUAGCUUUAGAUAUCUCACUUAUUAUGUUUAGUUCCGCAACUUUUUUCUUUUCAGCUCGAGUAAUUGUGUUAUAUAUAUACUUUGCAUGUGUGCUCUUUGUCACAAAUAAAUUGUUCCUUCUUCUGUAUUUGACAAGUAAUAACUGUUGCUAAGUUGAGGACAUGGAUUAAGCUGUUUCUUUGAUGUAACAUAUAUCAUAAUGAAAUACAUAUUGAUAUGCUUUGUAAA